rnacentral:rRNA from 1 species
UACGGAGGGUGCGAGCGUUGUCCGGAAUCACUGGGCGUAAAGGGCGCGUAGGCGGCCUGAUAAGUAGGGGGUGAAAUCCUGCGGCUUAACCGCAGGGCUGCCUUCUAAACUGUCAGGCUCGAGCACAGUAGAGGCAGGUGGAAUUCCCGGUGUAGCGGUGGAAUGCGUAGAGAUCGGGAGGAACACCGAUGGCGAAGGCAGGUCUCUGGGCCACUACUGACGCUGAGAAGCGAAAGCGUGGGGAGCGAACAGG